UACGUAGGUGGCAAGCGUUAUCCGGAUUUAUUGGGCGUAAAGGGAACGCAGGCGGUCUUUUAAGUCUGAUGUGAAAGCCUUCGGCUUAACCGGAGUAGUGCAUUGGAAACUGGGAGACUUGAGUGCAGAAGAGGAGAGUGGAACUCCAUGUGUAGCGGUGAAAUGCGUAUAUAUAUGGAAGAACACCAGUGGCGAAAGCGGCUCUCUGGUCUGUAACUGACGCUGAGGUUCGAAAGCGUGGGUAGCAAACAGG
rnacentral:rRNA from 1 species